rnacentral:rRNA from 1 species
GACGUAGGGGGCCAGCGUUGUUCGGAAUUACUGGGUGUAAAGGGUUCGUAGGCGGUGCGGCAAGUUGGGAGUGAAAUCUCUGGGCUUAACCCAGAGGCUGCUUCCAAAACUGCUGUGCUUGAGUGUGGGAGAGGCGCGUGGAAUUGCAGGUGUAGCGGUGAAAUGCGUAGAUAUCAGGAGGAACACCGAUGGCGAAGGCAGGUCUCUGGGCCAUAACUGACGCUGAGAAGCGAAAGCAUGGGGAGCGAACAGG